rnacentral:rRNA from 1 species
GUCCACGCCCUAAACGAUGUUUACUUGCUGUUUGCCCUUCGGGUGAGUGGCGUAGCGAAAGCGAUAAGUAAACCACCUGGGGAGUACGCCGGCAACGGUGAAACUCAAAGGAAUUGACGGGGUCCGCACAAGCGGUGGAGCAUGUGGUUUAAUUCGAUGAUACGCGAGGAACCUUACCUGGGCUAGAAUGAAUACGGAAGUGAUCUGAAAGGUGAAACGCACUUCGGUGACGUAUUCAAGGUGCUGCAUGGCUGUCGU